rnacentral:other from 1 species
ACACCCCUGCGAUGUUCGUGAUUAACGUCUGUUUUUGAGCCAACACUUUGAACCUGGGGUCUUUCCUUGUUUGCGGUGUGCAGGUCGGCCUUGUUUCCGCUUGUCGGGAGGUCGAAAGCCUGAAGCAAAACAAUACCGGACGCCCACUUAUAAAAAGGUUCAAAAAGCCAUUAACACGGCAUAUGCGGGGUUUUU